rnacentral:pre_miRNA from 1 species
UAGCAACAUCAAAACGUAGAAGGGACAGAGAAUAGACAGGACGAAGACGUCGUUCUGUCUAUUCUCUGUCCCUUCUACGUUUUGAUGUUUCUUCU